AACGAACGCUGGCGGCAGGCCUAACACAUGCAAGUCGAACGCUCCAGCAAUGGAGAGUGGCAGGCGGGUGAGUAACGCGUGGGAACCUUCCCUAUGGUUCGGAAUAGCCCAGGGAAACUUGGGGUAAUACCGGAUAAGCCCUUCGGGGGAAAGAUUUAUCGCCAUUGGAUGGGCCCGCGUCGGAUUAGCUAGUUGGUGGGGUAACGGCCUACCAAGGCGACGAUCCGUAGCUGGUCUGAGAGGAUGAUCAGCCACACUGGGACUGAGACACGGCCCAGACUCCUACGGGAGGCAGCAGUGGGGAAUAUUGGACAAUGGGCGCAAGCCUGAUCCAGCCAUGCCGCGUGAGUGACGAAGGUCUUCGGAUUGUAAAGCUCUUUUGGCGGGGACGAUAAUGACGGUACCCGCAGAAUAAGCCCCGGCUAACUUCGUGCCAGCCGCCGCCGUAACAC
rnacentral:rRNA from 1 species